AUUAAAUAGAGUUUGAUCCUGGCUCAGAAUAAAUGCUAUUGGUAUGCUUAACACAUGCAAGUUGAAUGUUUAAUUUUUAAACAUAGCGAACGGGUGAGUAACGCGUGAAUUAUCUACCUUUUAAUUCAGGAUAAUUAUUUUAUAUAAAAAUACUGAAUAAUUUUAAUAAAGUUUUAAUAACGUUAAAAGAUGAGUUUGCGUAAGAUUAGGUAGUUGGUAGUUUAAAAGACUACCAAGCCGACUAUCUUUAGCUGGUUUGAAAGAAUGAUCAGCCACAUUGGGACUGAGACACGGCCCAAACUUUUUUAAAGGCAGCAGUGGGGAAUUUUGGACAAUGAGCGAAAGCUUGAUCCAGCAAUACCAAGUGAGUGAAGAAGGCUAAUUAGGUUGUAAAGCUCUUUCAUUAAGGAGGAAAAUGACAGUACUUAAAAAAGAAGUUCCGGAGCUAAUACCCGUGCCAGCAGCCGCGGUAAUACGGGAGGAGCGAGCAUUAUUCGGAAUGAUUAGGCGUAAAGGGUUUGUAGGUGGUUUUUUAAGUUGAAAAAAACAAAUUAAAGCUCAACUUUAUAAAUUUUUUCAAAACUGAAAAACUUGAGUAUAAAUAGAGGAUAAUGGAAUUUCUAUUGGAGGGAUAAAAUACGUUGAUAAUAGAAGGAAGAUCAAAAGCGAAGGCAAUUAUCUGGGUAUAUACUGACACUGAGAAACGAAAGCUUGGGUAGCGAACGGGAUUAGAGACCCCGGUAGUCCAUGCUGUAAACGAUGAGUGCUCAUAUUUAGAAUUUUUAGAUAUCAAGCUAACGCGUUAAGCACUCCGCCUGA
rnacentral:ncRNA from 1 species